UGCAAGUCGAACGAUGAAGCCCAGCUUGCUGGGUGGAUUAGUGGCGAACGGGUGAGUAACACGUGAGUAACCUGCCCUUAACUCUGGGAUAAGCCUGGGAAACUGGGUCUAAUACCGGAUAGGAGCGUCCACCGCAUGGUGGGUGUUGGAAAGAUUUAUCGGUUUUGGAUGGACUCGCGGCCUAUCAGCUUGUUGGUGAGGUAAUGGCUCACCAAGGCGACGACGGGUAGCCGGCCUGAGAGGGUGACCGGCCACACUGGGACUGAGACACGGCCCAGACUCCUACGGGAGGCAGCAGUGGGGAAUAUUGCACAAUGGGCGAAAGCCUGAUGCAGCGACGCCGCGUGAGGGAUGACGGCCUUCGGGUUGUAAACCUCUUUCAGUAGGGAAGAAGCGAAAGUGACGGUACCUNCAGAAGAAGCACCGGCUAACUACGUGCCAGCAGCCGCGGUAAUACGUAGGGUGCGAGCGUUAUCCGGAAUUAUUGGGCGUAAAGAGCUCGUAGGCGGUUUGUCGCGUCUGUCGUGAAAGUCCGGGGCUUAACCCCGGAUCUGCGGUGGGUACGGGCAGACUAGAGUGCAGUAGGGGAGACUGGAAUUCCUGGUGUAGCGGUGGAAUGCGCAGAUAUCAGGAGGAACACCGAUGGCGAAGGCAGGUCUCUGGGCUGUAACUGACGCUGAGGAACGAAAGCAUGGGGAGCGAACAGGAUUAAAUACCCUGGUAGUCCAUGCCGUAAACGUUGGGCACUAGGUGUGGGGACANUUCCACGGUUUCCGCGCCGCAGCUAAC
rnacentral:rRNA from 1 species